rnacentral:rRNA from 1 species
GACGAACGCUGGCGGCGUGCCUAAUACAUGCAAGUCGAACGCUGAAGAGAGGAGCUUGCUCUUCUUGGAUGAGUUGCGAACGGGUGAGUAACGCGUAGGUAACCUGCCUUGUAGCGGGGGAUAACUAUUGGAAACGAUAGCUAAUACCGCAUAACAAUGGAUGACACAUGUCAUUUAUUUGAAAGGGGCAAUUGCUCCACUACAAGAUGGACCUGCGUUGUAUUAGCUAGUAGGUGAGGUAACGGCUCACCUAGGCGACGAUACAUAGCCGACCUGAGAGGGUGAUCGGCCACCCUGGGACUGAGACACGGCCCAGACUCCUACGGGAGGCAGCAGUAGGGAAUCUUCGGCAAUGGGGGCAACCCUGACCGAGCAACGCCGCGUGAGUGAAGAAGGUUUUCGGAUCGUAAAGCUCUGUUGUAAGUCAAGAACGAGUGUGAGAGUGGAAAGUUCACACUGUGACGGUAGCUUACCAGAAAGGGACGGCUAACUACGUG